rnacentral:rRNA from 1 species
AUUGAACGCUGGCGGCAGGCUUAACACAUGCAAGUCGAACGAGUGGCGGACGGGUGAGUAAUGCUUGGGAAUCUAGCUUAUGGAGGGGGAUAACUACGGGAAACUGUAGCUAAUACCGCAUACCAUAGGAUGAGCCCAAGUGGGAUUAGUUAGUUGGUGAGGUAAAGGCUCACCAAGCCGACGAUCCCUAGCUGGUCUGAGAGGAUGAACAGCCACACUGGGACUGAGACACGGCCCAGACUCCUACGGGAGGCAGCAGUGGGGAAUAGUGCGCAAUGGGGGCAACCUGACGCAGCCAUGCCGCGUGAAUGAAGAAGGCCUUCGGGUUGUAAAGUUCUUUCGGUAGGGAGGCGUUAACUACAGAAGAAGCACCGGCUAACUCCGUGCCAGCAGCCGCGGUAAUAC